rnacentral:rRNA from 1 species
CCUAACACAUGCAAGUCGAACGGUAACAGGAAGAAGCUUGCUUCCUUGCUGACGAGUGGCGGACGGGUGAGUAAUGUCUGGGAAACUGCCUGAUGGAGGGGGAUAACUACUGGAAACGGUAGCUAAUACCGCAUAACGUCGCAAGACCAAAGAGGGGGACCUUCGGGCCUCUUGCCAUCAGAUGUGCCCAGAUGGGAUUAGCUAGUAGGUGGGGUAACGGCUCACCUAGGCGACGAUCCCUAGCUGGUCUGAGAGGAUGACCAGCCACACUGGAACUGAGACACGGUCCAGACUCCUACGGGAGGCAGCAGUGGGGAAUAUUGCACAAUGGGCGCAAGCCUGAUGCAGCCAUGCCGCGUGUAUGAAGAA